rnacentral:rRNA from 1 species
AGCGAACGCUGGCGGCGUGCCUAACACAUGCAAGUCGAACGUGAACGGGGGCAACUCCUAGUAAAGUGGCGUACGGGUGAGUAACACGUAGGUAAUCUACCCAAGAGUCUGGAAUAACCGGCCGAAAGGCUGGCUAAUACUGGAUAGUUCAAGGAGCUCGUAAAGGAGCACUUUGGGAAAGGGAGGCCGUAAGGUCCCUUGCUUUUGGAUGAGCCUGCGUCCCAUCAGGUAGUUGGUAGGGUAAAAGCCUACCAAGCCGAUGACGGGUAGCUGGUCUGAGAGGAUGAUCAGCCACACUGGAACUGAAACACGGUCCAGACUCCUACGGGAGGCAGCAGUGGGGAAUCUUGCGCAAUGGACGAAAGUCUGACGCAGCAACGCCGC